AUGGCUGGGGGCUGGGAGGGGGGGAGGGGGAUGGCCUGGCACUGUCUGCCCCCCCAGUGCUGCCCUGUCCCCGCAAGGUGGGAGAUGUGUCUUUGGGGAUGGGACACUGGCCCGGGUCUGCCCCAGCCCUGCCAGCGGGGAUGGGGGUGCAGUGCCCCAAGGGCAAAGGGGGGAGACUGGGAUGGGGCAGCAGGUGGGGGGCACACGUGUCUGCACAUCUGUCUGUCUGUCCAUCCAUUUGUUCAUCCACCCACCCGUCCUUCCGUCCAUCCAUCUGCCUGUCCAUCCACCCACCCACCCAUGCUUCCAUCCAUCCAUCUGUCCGUCAACCCACCCAUCUGUCCGUCCGUCCCUCCCUCCACCCACCCAUCCAUCUGUCCCUCCAUCCACCCACUCAUCCCCCCGCCCGCCCGUCCAUCUGUCCGUCCCUCCCUCCUCCCACCCACUCACCCACCCCAGGGUGGACCCAAGCCCUGGCCAUGGGGUUGCCAACUGUGGUCCCCAGAGUGGUGGCCGCUGGGUGCCACAGGGUGCUGGUGGCUGAGCCGGGGGGAGAAGUGCCACCUCCCAAGGGUUACAGGAGCCGUGUUGCCAUGGCACUCGGUGGCACUUGUCCUCUUGAGCCCAAUAAAAGCCGCCCGUUGGCCCCGGGUGCAGAGAGCGGCGCCAGCACCCAGCCCCAGCAGCAGCGCGGGAGAGGAGCCCACCUGGGGGUGCAGGACCCGGUCGUGCCCCACUCCCAUCCCAAAAAUGCCGAGGGCCCCACAGCCCCUCUCGCUCCUGGUCCUGCUCGUCCUCGUCGCCACCGCCCAGGGACAGGCCGUCACCAGUUCCACGGUGCUGGAGCCCUGGCUCCUGGGCCUCACGGCUGUUGUCGUCUUCCUCUUCAUCGUCUUCGUGCUCCUGCUCAUGAACCGGCUCUGGCGGAUCAGGAUGCGCAGGUGGGACAGUGGGACGGGGACACAGCCCGCACCCGCCUCACUGGGGGCAGGGGGCGGCCCACCCCGGGGGGGGGCACAGGUUCUGGUGGUGCCCGAAUCUGGGGGCAGGCCGCUCCCCGGGCACCGCUCACCCCCUCUGUCCCCUCGCAGGAAGCGGGGCAACGGCCAGGACACCCCGGGGACUGACAGGCUGGAGCGCAUCGGCCACGUCAACCCGGCGGCCGAGGAGGAGAGCGACGACGAGGAGCGCAGGAAGGCCACCCCGCUCUGAGGCGGUGGCUGUGUCCCCCCCGCCCUCGCCCACCCGGUUCCCCCCGUCCCUGGGGACGCCCCGUCGGGCCCCGCGCCCUCAGCCCCGUCCGCGGGAGGCGGAUCCGCGCCGGGUUUUGCGGCGGGAGGUGCCGCGGCGGCC
rnacentral:lncRNA from 1 species